rnacentral:snoRNA from 1 species
UUGCUAUUAAUAAUUAUGUAUAAAGUUCUGUUCCCCAUGGGGGCCUGGUGUGCAAUGGCUGCAAACAGCAGCAUUCUUGGUAGUGUACGCAACCCAUUGCUUAGCAUGGGUUGCCUAAAGGGACCUUGGAUACAGGC